rnacentral:rRNA from 1 species
CCCUUAGAGUUUGAUCCUGGCUCAGGACGAACGCUGGCGGCGCGCCUAACACAUGCAAGUCGAACGAGCGAGAGAGAGCUUGCUUUCUCGAGCGAGUGGCGAACGGGUGAGUAACGCGUGAGGAACCUGCCUCAAAGAGGGGGACAACAGUUGGAAACGACUGCUAAUACCGCAUAAGCCCACGGGUCGGCAUCGACCAGAGGGAAAAGGAGCAAUCCGCUUUGAGAUGGCCUCGCGUCCGAUUAGCUAGUUGGUGAGGUAACGGCCCACCAAGGCAACGAUCGGUAGCCGGACUGAGAGGUUGAACGGCCACAUUGGGACUGAGACACGGCCCAGACUCCUACGGGAGGCAGCAGCGGGGAAUAUUGCACAAUGGGGGAAACCCUGAUGCAGCGACGCCGCGUGGAGGAAGAAGGUCUUCGGAUUGUAAACUCCUGUUGUGAGGAAGAUAAAGACGGUACUCAACAAGG